rnacentral:rRNA from 1 species
GAUGAACGCUGGCGGCGUGCCUAAUACAUGCAAGUAGAACGCUGAAGGAAGGAGCUUGCUCUUUCCGGAUGAGUUGCGAACGGGUGAGUAACGCGUAGGUAACCUGCCUGGUAGCGGUGGAUAACUAUUGGAAACGAUAGCUAAUACCGCAUAACAGUAGAUGUUGCAUGAUAUCUACUUAAAAGGUGCAAUUGCACCACUACCAGAUGGACCUGCGUUGUAUUAGCUAGUUGGUGAGGUAACGGCUCACCAAGGCGACGAUACAUAGCCGACCUGAGAGGGUGAUCGGCCACACUGGGACUGAGACACGGCCCAGACUCCUACGGGAGGCAGCAGUAGGGAAUCUUCGGCAAGGGACGGAAGUCUGACCGAGCAACGCCGCGUGAGUGAAGAAGGUUUUCGGAUCGUAAAGCUCUGUUGUAAGAGAAGAACGAGUGUGAGAGUGGAAAGUUCACGCUGUGACGGUAUCUUACCAGAAAGGGACGGCUAACUACGUG